CCCUUGUAGCUCAGCGGUAGAGCACUCCUUUUUCUUAAGGAGAAGACGCGGGUUCGAUUCCCGCCAAGGGCU
rnacentral:tRNA from 1 species